UACGGAGGGUGCAAGCGUUAUCCGGAUUCACUGGGUUUAAAGGGUGCGUAGGUGGGAAUGUAAGUCAGUGGUGAAAUCUCCGUGCUUAACAUAGAAACUGCCAUUGAUACUAUGUUUCUUGAAUUUUCUGGAGGUAAGCGGAAUAUGUCAUGUAGCGGUGAAAUGCUUAGAUAUGACAUAGAACACCAAUUGCGAAGGCAGCUUGCUACAGGGAUAUUGACACUGAGGCACGAAAGCGUGGGGAUCAAACAGG
rnacentral:rRNA from 1 species